AUUGAACGCUGGCGGCAGGCCUAACACAUGCAAGUCGAACGAGUGGCGGACGGGUGAGUAACGUCUGGGAAACUCCCCGAUGGAGGGGGAUAAAUACUGGAAACGGUAGCUCAUACCGCAUACCAUCGGAUGUGCCCCGAUGGGAUUAGCUUGUAGGUGAGGUAACGGCUCACCUAGGCGAGGAUCCCUAGCUGUUCUGAGAGGAUGACCAGCCACACUGGAACUGAGACACGGUCCAGCCUCCUACGUGAGGCAGCAGUGGGGAAUAUGGCACAAUGGGCGCAAGCCUGAUGCAGCCAUGCCGCGUGUAUGAAGAAGGCCUUAGGGUUGGAAAGUAAUUUCAGCGGGGAGGCGUUACCCGCAGAAGAAGCACCGGCUAACUCCGGUCCAGCAGCCGCGGUAAUUC
rnacentral:rRNA from 1 species